AAUUAAAACUUUUUGCAUACAUUUUGCUGUACAAUUGUAUAUCUUUCUUGUUGUUUUCAAUUAAAAAAAGACAAGGAAAGACCGUAUGAUCGUGCUAUAAAAAUUAACUUUACAAUAAUGAAUUCCUUAGGCAGAAUCAGUUUCAACCAUAGAUCGCAAUCAAUUCUAGUUAGACCGGUUUUUAUUAAUAAAAAUGUAAAUAGAUUGUUACAUAAUCUAAAUAUAGAUGCUUUUGUUUAUCAUUCAUUCAUGAAUUCUUAAUUGAUUAAAAGAAUAAGUGAUUAAAAAACAAGUGCUAUAAUAAAAGUAUUUGCUUUCAACUAAAAUAUAAAGCAAAUUAUAAAAUUAAUUAUGCUUACAAUCAAUGUUUUUUUUUACAUCUUUUAUACAUUUCAGCUACAUAACACUUUCUUAUUCACGUCGUAAAUUUUCAAGCCUAGCGUGAAGAUCUGCAUCCGCAUCUGCAAUAUUUCCACCUUCAUCAUUUCCUGUUGCAGCUGCAACUGGUUGCUUAGAACUUGCUACACUUAGUGAACCAGAAGCUUGUGGUAAACCAGAUAAUUGAUCUGUCAAUUGAAGGCCUAACU